rnacentral:rRNA from 1 species
GUGGAAGCGUGGCGACACGUGCAGCUGACGAAUACUAAUCGAUCGAGGACUUAACCCAA